UACGGAGGGGGCUAGUGUUGUUCGGAAUUACUGGGCGUAAAGCGCACGUAGGCGGCUUUGUAAGUUAGAGGUGAAAGCCCGGGGCUCAACUCCGGAAUUGCCUUUAAGACUGCAUCGCUCGAAUUGUGGAGAGGUAAGUGGAAUUCCGAGUGUAGAGGUGAAAUUCGUAGAUAUUCGGAAGAACACCAGUGGCGAAGGCGACUUACUGGACACAUAUUGACGCUGAGGUGCGAAAGCGUGGGGAGCAAACAGG
rnacentral:rRNA from 1 species